GACCAAACCUACGCACGUAGAGGUCGGAGGAGGGUUCAGGAUGAGGAUGAUGACUUCUCUCUCUCUCUCUCUCUCUCUCCCUCUCGUAAGGGGAGGAGGUUGGAGGGGGGGUCGACGGAGGGGAGGGUUUCGAGGGGUGAAGAGGGCGAGGCCGCAGCGUAAGCGGGGCGGGCGGGGCGGCUAAGGGAGCCCAGAAUAGGAGCGAACGCCGGACGGCUGUCGCCCCGAGGGGAGGCGAGCCUCAGAGGGGCGCGGGGCGGCUUAAAGAGCCCAGUAAGAGAGGCCGCCGAGGCCCACGCCCGAAAGCCAGGCCCCGCGGCGCCGGGCGCUAGUAACGACCUCCUCUCGAAAAAAGCGCCUCCCCAGACCACGCCUCAGACGUCAUGGCCGCCGCAGGUAUCCAAUCUAGACCUCCAAAGCCGCGAGACCUAGACUCGACAACCAAAACCCACCUCCUUAGCCCUGACCGCCAGCGUUAGGAGGAUCGGUAAAACCACGACAGGCAAGACCCAAUGAUCCCCCAAACGCACAAGAUUUAUCCCAUACCUGCCGUCUACGUCAUUGAUGAUCAUAGAGAACUUCUUUGAAGUCGACGUCUAGACUUUGGGUAAAAACACGGGGAACGACAUCAACAUCGGGACGGUCUACUCCACUUGGUCCGGCGAAAGAUCACGGGGGAACGGUAACGAACAACGGUCACAACCAACGGUCAAAAUCGAGUUGUUUAGACCGACCUCGGACUAGACGGGUUCGGUCGUAAUCAACACACGAGAGACACAGACCAACUCGUUCCAACGUCGAAGGUAAACAACUAAAGCAGCCGAAACAAAUCAUCGAAACUAUUGGACCUCUGACGUUCGUUUGUCUAGGGCAGGACGUCGAGAUCAUUAUUCCACCACGACCCCCUUCCGUGGUACUGGAUGAAAGGCCUCCUCCACCACCUCGUGUAUAAGUCGAAGAACGGGCGCGUUACACUGGCCUUGUGGCAAAGUGAACAAACGUUCCAUACCAUACUCUAACUUUCCGACUCGGCCGCUUGACAGAAACACCCAUUGACGAUACGACACGCGGGACUCGCGCACCACGAAGCCAAGGGGUUACACGCCCGUGACUGUCACUUCCCCUUUGGUGUGAAGCGACUAAAGUUGGAACACGGUGGACUAACCCCACCCAUGCGGCCUGGUACCUAGCUCCGUCGUCGGUCCCCGACGCACCCAGAACUCCUCGACGCCUACUUCGCCUACCACCACAGUCUACUCUCGGACCUCGACGAACGGUUUAGUAAGGGUGCUAAGUCCCGGGAUCAAGAAUAGUCGACACUCCCCAAGUCGUGGCUACCUGAUCGUCGAUAACGUUCAGUGACGUUCGAGGACUCCCUCAAUCUAAACGUCCUUUUACUCCACCUACUAGCUCCCGGUUCCACCGAGAGGACGAAGGGACUAAGGACGUGCAGGGAACAGAGGAACUUAAAGCGGACGUAGUUUCCCCUCCAAUUACGACCAAGUAAUCUCUCUGAACAACGAUCCAGGGGUUCAGAAGCCUCAAACUCCAACUUAGCUAGACACAGUCAUCUAUGUGAGAGCUUCUAUAAUUACUCGCGGGGAUUAAACCUCCUAGAUCCCUGACCCUUGAACUGUCUACUGAAGGUUCGACUUAGCAUAGAGUCCGACUGGGAACGUAACCUCUUUACGUUUGACGACUCCUCAAAUAGCCCGAAAACCCUACGAAGCGGAAACACGGAAGGUAAGUAGAUAGGACAUACACCCGUUGAUUGUCCAAAUUUGAACUCGAUACGAGGCUGUGAACUAAGAAGACUAGAGUGGUUUUACUAGUCGGUGACACACUUUGAGGUUGCAGAAACCCAUGACCUAACGUAGCGCCUAUUCCCGAACGUUCACCACCGGAGGUCAACGUUCCUAGAUGUUCUUGAGUCCCAUAAGGGUAGUCUGAAGAUAUAGCGGCCCAUAAGGGGUCAUUGUCUCCUCCCUGAACAACGUUAUAGGAACCCGACAGUUUUUGACUCGAGUAACGAUAUAAAAACAGUAGUUUACUGCUUACGACGUGACGAAUGAUAUCGAUUCUUGACGGGUUUAAAGUGCGCCAAGUCUGAGACAUAAGAACUCGGACCCUUCGGACUACGGUACUGUUUGGUUGGUAAUCUACUUCCAAAACCACGAUAACAAGCACUUACGUUUCCCGAUUCCGCUAACAGUUAUAGCCCAGAAGAGUGGCUGUUCCAAAAGUACAUAUAACCAUUUAAGCGCUUUGUUGAACUCUACGAAAGUUAUCGUAAACGACCUCUAUCACUACGCCCUUACUACGUACAAUACCUUCCUACGUUAUUAGACUCCUUCGACCUCUAAUCUCUAUCGGGUAAACCACUACGACGUGAGGACCUCUUACAAUGGUUCAUACUCUGUUACGCUAGGGAAACCUACAGUAGUACGUUACAGUGUCUUUUCCCCACGGUUUAGGAACGUAGUUUCUACGGUUACGAAUUACACCUCCAAUAUUUACUCCAUCUACUCUCGUUACUUUACCUACUCUUGGUACCUUAGGGGUUUCAACUGUUCAAUAUACAAAUGGCGUGUUGACGACCCCGUUCCCUACUACGCGGUUUAAAACAAUUUUAGGAUAUCUCGAUCAACUCUUAACGGACCAUAGAGGAACGACAUAUUCUACCAGCCGCCUUACCUUAGGCCGCCCCCAGACACCUGUCACCGUUCAGAGGGCGACGGGGGGAGCCGAAACGUCGCGGUCCUUUUCGGUGCAGUCACACGAGGAAUAGGACCUCGUAGAGACAGGUCCCUAGGUAGUAAGGGAAAAAUCGCAGACCAGUAUACCGGUGACGGAAAUAGGACACGUAAAAAGAAAAAGAAUUCUCCUGGUGGUUGGUUGGUUAGGAAAGAAAAGGAAAAAGGAGAUGAUACGACAUGAGGCAUCGGUAAACGAAAACUGUAACGGUGUCACCUUACACGGAGUCGACAGCGACAACGAGAACAACAUUUGCAAACAAACUUGGACUGGCUUUGCUGCUACCGGUUACUAGAACGAGGGCACUUUAGUACGUCGUCUCCGACCUUAUUAAACAACGAGUAGUCGGGUAAUGAAGUAAAAGCC
rnacentral:rRNA from 1 species